AAACCCUCUCUAGCUUCCCUAGUAUUCUCCGUGCUCCUCUUCCCUUCUCCUCUCUCCCUCAAUAAUAUCUCUCUUGCCCUAGCUUCUUCUUCUUCUUCUUCUUCUUCACGAUCCGCUUCACAUCAUGCAUCCACACGAUUCACGGUUUUUCUCCUGACGGUUACCAUUGAUUUUUCAGUGGGAUCUCGUGAAGGAAAAUUCGCCAUUUCUCUAAAGUUCUUAAAGGAGUGGAGUCACUUCCUAAGCUUCGAUUACUUCGUCGAUUAGUGAAAGAUGAUGGAUUGCUUCUUUUGGUUUGCAUGUGCAGAACGAUGCCCAUGGGAAGAGAGAUUAUCUCUCAAUCUUUAACGGAUCUGUAUCCUCUUCUCAGUGCUACAUUAUAGAUUUGGGGGCUGCCGUGGUUGACUAAACUGAAGACUGGCGCAGGUUCCCUCGAGUUGUCUUUCAUGUCUAGACCAUUUGUGAGAAGGGAUUUUUUGUUUGCACCGUUCACCCCACUUUCAAUCUGUAGUGAGUAUUAAGGAAAAUAGCUUGUUCAACAUAUCACACUACUCUUUUAGAAACAAUACUAUAUUUUAGAUGCUUUUCCAGCUUGAUAUACGUUGUUUUGUUAUGUAUAUCUGUAUUAUCCCGGCUACCAAAACGUUAAGAAAUAAGGUGAACAUCCUAAAACCUGCAUCCAAUUAGAAAGGUCUAGGUCACAGAUAUUACUUGUUAUCUCUUGAUUAAGCUAUUUUAUUUCUAUCAGCAUGAUCAGAUCAUUCAGGAGUUAAGUAUAAACUAAAAUACAUUAAGUCCAUUCAUGACAUUUCUGGAUGCUGCAUACAUAAUAUUUUCCUUGUUUUUGGACUAUGCCACACUUCGGACAGACAUUUUGCCUAAGAGAUGUCAAACCUCUGUCUGGAGUGUUAGAGGUAUUUCAUGAUAGCUAAGAACUUGAAUCUUGCACUACUUAGCUACACUAGAUUACUUCAUAGUAAAUAACUUGGGGAGUGGGGGAAGGUGCUGGGUUAUUAUUCCCUUCUCAUCGAUGGUCUAGAUGUGCGAGGUGACUCUCAUUGAGGUAAAAGAGAUACGGUGACUGUGGGAAGCAUUCACCAUAAUGGUAUUUCUUAAAAAGGUUAGAGAUUUUCAACUUGUGACAUUAUCGUAAUAUUGCUUGAUUUUGAAUCAGUGAUCUGCUAAUGCAACACUUGUGAUACUUCCGAGUAUAGCUAUGUGAAGUUUUUUUCUUCAGGUUUGAGUACACCACACCAUUAUUCAAACUAAACGUAAACGAUGAAUACAGAAGCAUGUAGCAAUAACUCUGUUGUCAGGUCCUUUGCAAAAACUGAAGAAGUGCAAGAGCUAAGGAAG